rnacentral:rRNA from 1 species
CCUACGGGAGGCUGCAGUGAGGAAUAUUGGUCAAUGGGCUUACGCCUGAACCAGCCAAGUCGCGUGAGGGAAGACUGCCCUAUGGGUUGUAAACCUCUUUUGUCAGGGAGCAACGCCGGCUACGUGUAGCCGGACUGAGAGGACCUGAAGAAAAAGCAGCGGCGAACUCCGUGCCAGCAGCCGCGGUAAUACGUAGGUGGCAAGCGUUGUCCGGAUUGACUGGGUGUAAAGGGCGUGUAGCCGGGUUGACAAGUCAGAUGUGAAAUCCUGCGGCUUAACCGCAGAACUGCAUUUGAAACGGUUGAUCUUGAUUACUGGAGAGGCCGCCGGAAUUCCUCGUGUAGCGG